rnacentral:rRNA from 1 species
UGGGGAAUAUUGCACAAUGGGCGAAAGCCUGAUGCAGCGACGCCGCGUGAGGGAUGACGGCCUUCGGGUUGUAAACCUCUUUCAGCUCCGACGAAGGGUGACUGACGGUAGGAGCAGAAGAAGCGCCGGCCAACUACGUGCCAGCAGCCGCGGUAAGACGUAGGGCGCAAGCGUUGUCCGGAUUUAUUGGGCGUAAAGAGCUCGUAGGCGGCUUUUCGCGUCGACUGUGAAAACCCGCGGCUCAACCGUGUGGUCUGCAGUCGAUACGGGCAGGCUAGAGUUCGGUAGGGGAGACUGGAAUUCCUGGUGUAGCGGUGAAAUGCGCAGAUAUCAGGAGGAACACCGGUGGCGAAGGCGGGUCUCUGGGCCGAUACUGACGCUGAGGAGCGAAAGCGUGGGGAGCGAACAGG